GCAGGGGUACCCGAGUGGUCAAAGGGGCUGGGUUUAGGUCCCAGUGCGUAGUGCUUCGUAGGUUCGAAUCCUACCUCCUGCACCA
rnacentral:tRNA from 2 species